rnacentral:lncRNA from 1 species
CUGUGUAAAGGUGGAUAUAGAUCAUCCAGGCAGUGGGAUGUUCUUCUUACUCAUAAGCAAAGUUUCUGACAGCCCCUGACACUAGAGAACAAGGUCUUCCAUUGAGUUGUGUUCUUUUUACUUGCUAACAUAGCAUUUUUAUUAAUUAGCUACUUGACACAAAAGUGUAAUAAGUUAUUUCUAUGUUUUCAUAGUCAACUAUUGAGUCACAAUUUGCCUCAUCGCAUGACAUUGAUUUUAUAAUAGAAUUUUCUAUAAAUAUAGCAGAAAGGUAAACCAGUCUUUCCACUCAGUUUGAUCACUUUAAAAUUCUGAUAAAUACUACAAUCAUCCAAAAUUAUGAAAUACUACAAUCAAUCCUACUUGUGAAAAUC